rnacentral:rRNA from 1 species
UACUAGUUUUACCCUAGGCGGCUCCUUGCGGUUACCGACUUUAGGUACACCCAGCUUCCAUGGCUUGACGGGCGGUGUGUGCAAGGUCCGGGAACGUAUUCACCGUAUCAUUGCUGAUAUACGAUUACUAGCGAUUCCAGCUUCAUGGAGUCGAGUUGCAGACUCCAAUCUGAACUGAGAGGCGUUUUUUGGGAUUGGCUCCUUAUCGCUAAGUGGCAGCCCUUUGUACGCCCCAUUGUAGCACGUGUGUAGCCCUGGGCAUAAAGGCCAUGAUGACUUGACAUCAUCCCCUCCUUCCUCGCGUCUUACGACGGCAGUUUCACUAGAGUUCCCAGCGUUACCUGAUGGCAACUAGUGAUGGGGGUUGCGCUCGUUGCGGGACUUAACCCAACACCUCACGGCACGAGCUGACGACAGCCAUGCAGCACCUUACUGGCGGUGUAUUGCUACAAAGUGAGCUUUCACCCGC